GCUAUUUGCAAUUCCAUACACACGUUUGGCCCCCUCACCUGCACGUCUCCAAUGAUGUCCUCCAUGACCACAUCGUACUGAACCAGGAAGUCAGCCAUGAUGCCUGACCCAGAGAUGGACGACUGGUCUUGCAAUGUCGGGCAGUAGGAUCUCAGGUGUAAAGAGUUGCACUUAUAAGCACAAUCAUGCACUGCAAGCAUGAUCCAAUUGGUUAUGUGAAUUUAUUAUGUGAUAGAGGUGCCAUUUCAAAGCAGAGAGGGAAAAGAUGGAUUAGUUUGCACAUGAUGUAGAGGUA
rnacentral:lncRNA from 1 species